UCAAAAUGGAUCUUUACAAAGUGUUCGUCAUGCAUACUGAAUGCAUGCGUCGGAUUAUUAUGUCAGGUGGGAAGCCCUUCUCCUCAGGGGUGGGGUCAGGAAGACCACCUGUAUCUACAAUGAAACACCAAAAUGAAGUCAGAUUAAUUGCACUGUGACUCUCCUCAAUCGCCUCCGCCGGGCCACAGUUCCCCGACACACUUUCAGGAUUCGCAGCAGGCAUCAUCACACGGGCCCUUACCGUCGAUGGUCUCGGAGUCGACAGCCGCACGCGUUCCAACAAACUCAAUUUCUG